GCGAGACUAUACCUACUGGUGAGCGUUAUGCAGUGAAUGUCAUUAACCAGAUUGGGGUGGAGGCAUCGACUAAUCAGCUGGCUGAUCAGCAGAUGCCAGUGUAUAAUCUUGCAUUGAAGAUUCUUUGUCGGGUUAUCAAUGUAUCAUUGAAGGCUGAACCAGACACUGAUGAAGUAUUUUCACAAGUCACUUUACUUCCCGAAUCAAAUUUUUCAGAAUGGUUAUGUCACACCCUGCUAUUCUUCCUGUCAAAAUGGGGAAGGUUUGCAUGGUUGUCACUCUUCGAACAGGUUAGUGGGUUUCUCUGGAUUUUCGUUUUUCUCUAUUGGGUUUCGAUUAGUUCUCAAGUUUUUGCGUUUCUUGAUUUGCUUUUCGCAUUUGAACAUACAGUUUUUAUUUCCUCAUGAAUCUGAUCUGCCUUUUUCAAAGAUUUCUCUGGUUAGAACUUCAAUCUACAAGCUUUGUGGCUGAUCAGAAGCUACGUAUUUGGAUUUUGCUGGAAGAAGGUUUCGAAUCGGACUAUUGGAAGACAAAAGGGUUAUAAUUGUUAUGACCGGAUUGAGCAUGCUCAAUGCAGGCAUCUCAACUCAAUUACUACAAACCCUAUUCAAGGUGAAAGCUGUUGUACACUAUGGAAUUGCAGGAAAUGCAGAUCCCCAACUCCAAAUUGGAGAUGUCACCAUCCCUCAAUUUUGGCCUCAUACAGGCCUUUGGAAUUGGCAGUUUCAAAAAGGAUUUCCAUAUUGUCCCCAGUCAACCCGAGGGUUCUAUUUGAUUUCUAACAAUUGUGGGAAAGAACGGGCAAAUGCAUCUAGACGGGUGGUUUAGUGGUUAGGAGACUUGGAGGGCCAAUGGAGGCAGUCUAUUCUUCCCAUAUUUUCUUUUUUAGAAUUUUGGGUUGUUGGAGGCAGAAGUUGGUUGCUUUGCUUGACAUGAUGAGGACUUCAUUAACCGUUUGGAAGCGCAGCCAACGAUUCGAGAGCAGAAGGGGAGCAAGCAUGUGAGUGCGGAAGACUUGGCUGCUUGAACAAGAACGACUGCUGCAGGGUGUUCUACAUGUUUUUGGCUUUCAACAUUUUUGCUUCAAGACUUAGCUGCUUGAACAAGAACGAAACACCAUCUUAACUGCAAGGCAAAAUAUGUGUGGACUGCAUGUUACUUCUGUUUCUUACGGAAACAGGCGUCCUGCAUGUGUUUUUGCUUUGCACGUUUGUGCUUGAAAACUUAGAUGCUAGAAUAAGAACGAAACAGUUUUUACGUCGCCUAACCUAUAGGAUAUAUAUUUUGCCACAUUGACUACAACGGCAAGAUUUGUGUGUACUGUAUGUUACUUUUGUUUAUUAGGGAACCAAAAUGUUCAGUUUCAUCCUGUUCAUUGUACAAUGUCUUUUCAUGUCAGUUCAGUUGAAUGUAUAUAAAAACGAAGCUGCAUAUCUUACGGACCUCAUUCACUCAUCUAUCCCUUUCUUCAUUUAUGAUUGCGUUGAAUUUAUUCAGGUAAAAUGUUUCUUAUUCAUGCAGUUCAAGGUGAUACAUUCAAGUCCC